rnacentral:rRNA from 1 species
GACGAACGCUGGCGGCGUGCCUAAUACAUGCAAGUUGAGCGCUGAAGGUUGGUACUUGUACCAACUGGAUGAGCAGCGAACGGGUGAGUAACGCGUGGUGAAUCUGCCUUUGAGCGGGGGACAACAUUUGGAAACGAAUGCUAAUACCGCAUAAAAACUUUAAACACAAGUUUUAAGUUUGAAAGAUGCAAUUGCAUCACUCAAAGAUGAUCCCGCGUUGUAUUAGCUAGUUGGUGAGGUAAAGGCUCACCAAGGCGAUGAUACAUAGCCGACCUGAGAGGGUGAUCGGCCACAUUGGGACUGAGACACGGCCCAAACACCUACGGGAGGCAGCAGUAGGGAAUCUUCAGCAAAGGACGAAAGUCUGACCGAGCAACGCCGCGUGAGGGAAGAAGGUUGUCGGAUCGUAAAACUCUGUUGGUAGAGAAGAACGUUGGUGAGAGUGGAAAGCUCAGCAAGUGACGGUAACUACCCAGAAAGGGACGGCUAACUACGUG